GACGACGCUGGCGGCGUGGAUUAGGCAUGCAAGUCGAACGGUAGGAUACCUUCGGGUAUCUGAGAGUGGCGAACGGGUGAGUAACACGUAGGUGAUCUACCCUCAAGAUUGGGACAACCCAGGGAAACUUGGGCUAAUACCGGAUGAAAGCAGCAGCGAUGUUGUUUGAAAGGUGGCGUAAGCUGCCGUUUGGGGAUGAGCCUGCGCUCUAUUAGUUAGUUGGCGGGGUAAAGGCCCACCAAGGCGAUGAUAGAUAGGCGGCCUUAACGGGUGGUCGCCCACACUGGGAUUGAGAUACGGCCCAGACUCCUACGGGAGGCAGCAGUCGAGAAUAGUCUACAAUGGCCGAAAGGCUGAUAGUGCGACGCCGCGUGAACGAAGAAGCCCUUCGGGGUGUAAAGUUCUUUUAUAUGUGAGCAGUGCUUUCUAUGUGAACAGCAUGGGGAGAGAGAUAUUAGCAUAUGAAUAAGCAACGGCUAACUCCGUG
rnacentral:rRNA from 1 species